rnacentral:misc_RNA from 1 species
UGGGAAAGUAGUUGGCCUUAGGAGGGAUUAUUAGGUGCACCCCCUGUCCCACCUCUAAAAACAAGAGUAACCGAUUUUUUGUAUCUAAGGAGCACUAUUUUUUAGUGCUCAUCCAAUAAUUAGGCUGGCCUUAGUUAUUUCCAACUGUUUGUGCGCGUAACAUUGUAUCUUUUUGGAAAUUAGACAUGCCUUAGCAUAACUGACACAAAAGUUUCGGACUUGAAUACCUGAGCCAGUAGUUAGGAUAAAAUGGUAUAUACGUGUAAUGAACUAAUACACUUUUCAGAGAUCAAACUCAGGCUGUUAAGUGUUUACUAGUUGGCUUUUGUUAAUUGGCUCAACUGUUGUAUACAAUUUUUUUUCUAUUUACUAUGAGAAUCAAAAUCAUCUGUCUGUAAAAUAAAAGCAAAUGUGCUACACUAUUUAUAUCUACUUUAACCACAAAAAGUAUGUUGAAUCAAGGACUGAGUGAAAGUUUCAUUUCUGAGGUUAGUUCAUCUAUAGUAUUUCGCAACAG